rnacentral:tRNA from 1 species
GUUCUUUUAGUAUAAAAAGUACAACUGACUUCCAAUCAGUUAGAUCUAGUAUAAUCUAGAAUGGAACA